GUAAUCAAGUGUAAAAUACCUUUUGAGGAAAGAAAAUUAGAAAAUGCCUUGCUGUUGUACUCUCCACCUCCAUCUGUUUGGAGUUGUUGAAUUGUGGCAUGAAAUUGAGUAUCAACAAAAACAGUAAAUUGGACAAAUUUGGCAACAACAUCUGAUUUAUUGAUCAGUGGAAAAAUCUACACAAAACGUGUACAAUCAUCAAUAAGAGUCACAUAGUACUUAUAACCNNNNNNNNNNNNNNNNNNNNCUCGAGGUCGAGUUCUUUCGUAGUGGAGGAGACUGAUGUAGAACAAGAAGUGGGCCAAAUUUAGACAAGAAAAAAUAAAGUAAGAAACGGCGAAUAAUCAGAAAGAAUGAUUUAAAGAUCGGUAACUCUCGUAUCAUGAGGUCGCUAGCCGCUGGAAUAUUCAAGAAUAUGUUGUUUUGGACUUUUCGGGUUUGCCGCGCAAAAUCUGUUAACUCUGAUUUGGAGUAUCUUUUGGCCAGAAUGUCAGUUUGGGAUGCAUAAUACCUUUCCGGAAUGGGAACGACGAGAUCUACAAGACUCACUUAUGUGAGCCCUGUCAGAUAUAGGCCAAAAGAUAUCAUUUUGUUAAUCCGAUUCGGCAUUCAAUAUUAUUUUAGGUUUUCUAGUUUAUUUUGGAUUUGGUUUUCUUUUAAUCUUUGGGCUUUUAGGCUUUGUUGUUAGUUGCCCUAGGGUUUAUUUGCUCCUAUAUAUAUAAGGAGCCUUUAUCAGUUGUAGUCGUCAAGCUUUUGAUAUUAAUAAAAAACCUUUGAGUUUAUCUCAAUUCUCUGGUGGAUUCCAGAUUAUCUCUCGUGGAUUCGAGAAAACCAGACUUGUGGAUUCAAGUCGCCGUUGGUGGAUUCCAACGUUAUCUAUUUCCGCUGCAUCAUACAGUUCCUUGUAAAUACCUCAAUAUCCUCUUUAAGCAGCAAAAUGAACAUCUGUGGGAGUUGUCAUAAACUGGCAUACUGUAUUUACUGCAUAAGCAAUAUCAGGCCGAGUAAAGGUUAGGUAUUGUAGAGCACCAACAAUGCUUCUGUACAAGGUAGGAUCCUUAAGUGGUGUGCCUUCAUCCUUAGUUAUUUGAUGAUGAGGUAAACACAGUGAAUUGCAGGUAUUGAUACUUUCCAUUCCAGCUCUAACAAGUAAAUCUCUUGCAUACUAGUUUGACUGAUGUGAAUUCCAUUAUGAACUCUGGUUACUUCCAAGCCAAGAAAAUAUGACAAAUGACCAAGAUCUUUCAUAUCAAAUACCAAGCUUAAUUCAGAAAUAACCUAAGAUAUUCCCACCUUAUCCGAACCAGUGAUGACAAUGUCAUCCACAUACAACAACAAUAUUACCACACCUGCAGAAGAAUGCCUUAUAAACAGACUAGGGUCAGAAUGAGAAAAUUCAAAACCCAAACUUGGAAGAAAGCCAGUGAAUAUUUCAUUCCAUGCUCUAGGUGCCUGUUUCAAACCAUAAAGGGAUUUUUUUAAGCAAACAGACAUAAUCUGGACAGGUAGGAUCUACAAAGCCUUGUGGUUGAGACAUAUACACUUCCUCCUUAAGAUCCCCAUGUAAGAAAGCGUACUUAACAUCUAGUUGCCUUAACUCCCACCUGUUCAUAGCAGCUAGAGCAAGAAUUAUUCUGACAGUACUAUGCAUGUCUAACCACUGGACUAAAGGUUUCAUCAUAGUCCAACCCUUUAAUUUGGCUAUAACCUUGAGCUACAAGUCUAGCUUUGUACCUAGAGAUACUCCCAUCAGAAUUUUUCUUGAUUUUGUAAAUCCAUUUUCUUCCAAUAAUAUUUCUAUGAGGAGGACAAGGAACAAGAGACGAAGUACCUUGAUUGUGUAAUGCUUCAAUUUCUUCCAUCAUUGCUUUAUCCCACUGAGACUUGCAUGUAGCAGCUCUAAAAUUCUUUAGCUCAACAAAGUCACUGAUCUCAGAAAUAGCACUAAAGCCACUAAAGAAUGGUAAUUCAGCAUACAACUUUUGAUGAGCAAUAGUUGAAUAACAGUAGUAAUCCUCAAAAGUUUUAUGUUUAAUAAUCCCAUUCUUUGCUCUUGUCAGCAUUGAGUGAUCAUUAUAAUUCUGCAUCUAUAUAAAAUCCAGUUCUUGAGGAAGAGAGUUACCAAAUUCAAGAGCAUUCAAGUCACUAAUAGUUAGAGCAGAAGUAUAUGUAUGUUGAACAUGAUCAUUAACAACAUUAUGAGAGUCAACACCUUGUUGAUCAGUAGCUGAAUUUGACUCAACACCAUCCUCCAAAUUUACUGCAUUAUUUUCCACUGCAUGAUCAACCAGGUUCUCCAAAUCUACUGCAUGACUUCCCAUUGCAUGACUAUUUAAUUCAUCAUCAUCCUGCAAAAUAACCUCAAAACUGACUCCAUUAUUAACACUGACUCCAUUAUUAUUUUCCUGUUGUCUGUUCAACUCAACACCAUCCAAAUUUACUUCAUUAUUUUCCACUGCAUGAUCAACCAGGUUCUCCAAAUCCACUGCAUGACUGUCCUGUUGCCUAUGUGACUCUACAGCAUCAACACUUCCUCCAUGCAUGCUAACCCCAAAAUUAACAUGACUUCCAUUCCUAUCCUCAUCAAGAACUGUUGCAGAACCAACAUCUCGGACAUCAAUACCAAAAUCAGAAGAAUGUAUAGUACUGUUAGAAAAGUUGCUCAAAACACUUCUGCCAAUAGAAAAAUCAUAUGGAAAGAUAACAGAAGUACUAGUUGGAGGACCAGCAGUAGACGUCAAAGGAACAGGCAUCCUUGGAGGAAGAGCAGUGAAUAAAGAAGAGGAGGGAAAGAGAGUAAUUAACAUGAUCAACAAGAGAUGCGGCAGGAGGAGGAGAGGAAUGAAAAGGAAAGAUGGACUCAUCAUGAACAACAUGCCUUGACAUCCAAAGUUUAUUUUGAGAUAUGAUGUAGCAAAACACACCUUUAUACCCUAAAGCAUACCCUAAGAAGACACAAGGUGUAGUCCUAGGAUCUAGUUUGUCAUGAGCAUAAGGUCGAAGGUAAGGAUAGCAACAAGAGCCAAAAAUCCUAAGAUGAGAUAAAUCUGGAUUUUAUGAAAAAGAAGUUCAUAGGGAGAAUGCAUGGAAAGAGUCUUGCUAGGCAUUCUAUUGAUAAGGUAGCAAGAAUGAGCCACACUAUGUAACCAGAAUUCCUUUGGCAUACCAGCAACAGACAACAAAGAAAUAGCAGUUUCCACUAUAUGCCUAUUUUUCCUCUCAGCAACCCCAUUUUGUUGAGGGGUAUAGGGGCAAGUAAUCAAGUGUAAAAUACCCUUUGAGAAAAGAAAAUUAGAAAAUGCCUUGUUGUUGUACUCUCCACCUCCAUCUGUUUGGAGUUGUUGAAUUGUGGCAUGAAAUUGAGUAUCAACAAAAGCAGUAAAUUGGAUAAAUUUGGCAAGAACAUCUGAUUUAUUGAUCAGUGGAAAAAUCCACACAAAACAUGUACAAUCAUCAAUAAAAGUCACAUAGUACUUAUAACCCUCAAUGGAGAGACAUGGAGCUGGCCCCCAUACAUCAGAAUGAAUUUUUGAAAAUGGAACAGUGGAUUUGGUUACAGACUCAGAAAAUGGAAGUCGAUGCAUCUUGCCUUCUAAACAGUGAGAACAGAUUUGACUUUGAAAAGGGGUAGACAUUUUUAUUUCAGACUUUUCUAAAUCUUAGACAAAACAGGUUGAGAAGGAUGACCUAGACGAUGGUGCCACACUGGAUAGGAAGAAGAAGAGCUGUGAAAUGCUGAGAGAAUCAACUGAGAAGUUGCUGAAAUUGGAGGUGAUUUGAAAAGAAACAGACCCUCAUUACUGCUCUUUCCUUGGUAGAGUACUGCCUUUGGAUGCCUUGUCCUGCACAACAAUGUUAGAUUCAUCAAGAGUGAUGAAGUAAUGUUUAUCCUUACACAAUUUAGUAAAGGAUAGCAAAUUCACAGCUAGUUCAGGUACAUGAAGCACAGUGUUCAGUUUUAGAACAUGAUCUGCAGGUUUAAUAAGAGUAGAACCAGUGUGUGCCACAGUCAAACCUGUACCAUUGCCAAUAGUGAUCUUGUGAUCAGAAGAGUAAGGUUGAGCAAUAGACAAAUUUCUCAGCUCAAAUGUCAUACGAUGAGUGGCUCCUGAAUCACCUAUCCACACAUCAUUAUUUGUAUUGGAAGAAGAAGCACCAUUGCUAGGAUUAAAUUCUCCUGGAAAAGCUGAACUGGGAGAAAUGUUUGCUACCACAUAACCACCUCCAUGAGAAGCCUGCUGAUAAGUCCCUUGUAUAUUUCUAGUAGUUUGAGCAGUUAGGACAGUUAGAGAUGCAGGAGGUUCAGUCCCUUGAUAGGCAAAGUUUGUUCUGUGAGAACAAUUCAAGGCAAUAUGACAUUUGAGUCCACAAAUUUGGCAAGUAGGGAUAGACAGUGAGGGAUGACCUUCUGGUAUAUCAGGUCCGUAGAAACAGUUAGAGGCAGUGUGACCUUUUUUAGAACAGAUUUGGCAUUCAGGAACAGUGGCAUUACUUGCAGACUUGAACUGAUUUUGAGAAUUCUGUUGAGCUUUAUAAUCUGGGUUAUGAUAACAGGUGCUUGUGAGAUGGCCAUGUUUUCCACAUAUCUAACAUUUAUGAACUCGGAAACAAGUGUCCACAGUAUGACAUCGUUUACCACAUACUGUGCAUUCAACUGCUCUUCCAUUUCCACUGUACUUGUUGUCUUUGCUCUUGUACUCUCCUUUGUUAUCCCAGUUUUUAGUGCCUCUGUCCCUCUCAUUGUGUCUUGAUCCUUCACCAUGUGCAACCAUAGCACUCAUAUUAGGAAACACAGAAAAUGUACCUUCAAAUCUUCUUUCAGCAACAAGAAGUUGUGCUCUCAGAUCCCUUAGAGAAAUAGGAUUCUCUCUUCCCUCAACAACAGUUCUUAGAGUAGAGUACUCAUCAGGAAGUCCAUUGAGAAUAACAAUGAUUAUAUCUUCAUCAGGAAUUGUAACUCCAACAGACAUCAGCUGAUCUCUUGCAUUUUUAACCCUUUGANNNNNNNNNNNNNNNNNNNNUUUCACUGAGACGCAUAGUGAUAAUACUCAACAGUGAAUGCACAUCUGAAUGUGUAAGAGUGUGACUAGCAGCAUUGUGAUCAGUAGUGCUUUGUGUAGGAGCCAUUUUCAACUGCAAGCAAUAUUCAAACAAAUUUCUUGAAACACCACAAAAGAGACCCUUAUGACUCAAUCCUCAGAAACCAAAAGACCUCAGACCUCUCAGAGAACUUCUUAUUCUCUUAGCAUACAAAAUCAGACUUCCAGCAAAUCUUGAACAAGAGCACGCAGAGAAUACUCAAUAAUUCCCAAAUGCUAUAUGCUCCAAUAUUGUAUUAAGACAACUCCUCAGACCUCUUUUUACUAAUAUUUAACACAAAAGCAACAAUAAUACCCAUAAAUGCUCAGUUUUGCUCUAAAUACUCAGAAAUGCUCAUAUUUGCUCUCAGUUUUGCUCAGAUUUACUCUAAAUACUCCAAUUUUUUCAACUCUUCUUAUAUACUCCAAUUUUGCUCACUUAAUCAUCAAAUCUCACCAUACAAAAGCAUCAAGAUCAUCAUAACCUUCAUAUGAAGAAAGCUCACAGUGGACUUAGUAAAUCUGAACAAACUUCAUACUUUCCUCUAAUCAACAAGCAUAGCAGCUAAUCCAUAGAAAACCUCAUGAACCGAUCAACAAUAUGACUGAAAAUUAUGUAGAUCUGAGCAAUUAAAUCAUCACAAAAACCAUGAACUACAGUUUCCUAGUAGCACUAGGAGAUUACCAUGUCACAGCUGCUCAGCCUCAACGAUUGCCAUCUGAUCUUGUUCUGAACCUCUAACACCACAGAAACACAAACACAAAAAUAACUUAAAUUCUUCUAUGCUAUGCUGCUAGUUUUCUCACAGUAUUGGACGGUUUCUCUUAAUGAAUUUCUCUCAAUGAUUUCUGUAGCUAGCAUAGGUUACUUUAGUCAUACUUGGUGUUGAUUCGACUAGGACCUCUUGUAUACUAGGUGUUGAUUCUCAACAUAGUUCAUUCCAAAUCAUUCCAUAUUUUAUUUAUUGGCUACUGAAUGAAACAUCAAUCUCUGUUGUCCCAUUGGCACCUAAAGCCCCAUCAGAGCAGAGGAACUAUUGCUGAUCAUUGCUGCUCAUUUAUGAGAGCCGCAACAUUUGUGAUGCCCUGUUCUAGUUUCUUUCCGGCAUUUACGUGGAUCAAUGAACAAUAAUGCAACUUUUCUGCUGUGGUUGAGGGCCUGAGGCCAAGGUGCAAAAGAUAUUUCCGGCAUUUUUCAUCAUUUGCGGCACCAAGAUCCUGAGCAAAAAGGACAAUAAUUCGAGCUAUCUUUGAUCUAUCUAUAUAUCUUGGCCUUACUAGGAAAAAAUUAUUAUGCAUCUAUAUAUAUAUGGUCUUACUAUCUAUCCAUCUAAUCUAAUGCUUAUCAUGCAUUUAGCAGAAUCAGAUCAUUCAUACUUUNNNNNNNNNNNNNNNNNNNNACAUUUAUGAACUCGGAAACAAGUGUCCACAGUAUGACCUCGUUUACCACAUACUGUGCAUUCAACUGCUCCUCCAUUUCCACUGUACUUGUUGUCUUUGCUCUUGUACUCUCCUUUGUUAUCCCAGUUUUUAGUGCCUCUGUCCCUCUCAUUGUGUCUUGAUCCUUCACCAUGUGCAACCAUAGCACUCAUAUUAGGAAACACAGAAAAUGUACCUUUAAAUCUUCUUUCAGCAACAAGAAGUUGUGCUCUCAGAUCACUUAGAGAAAUAGGAUUCUCUCUUCCCUCAACAACAGUUCUUAGAGUAGAGUACUCAUCAGGAAGUCCAUUGAGAAUAACAAUGAUUAUAUCUUCAUCAGGAAUUGUAACUCCAACAGACAUCAGCUGAUCUCUUGCAUUUUUAACCCUUUGAAGAUAUUUUUCAACACUUUCUGCUCCCUUGCACAAAGUUUGGAGCUCAGUUUUGAGUUGCAUAAUACUCACUCUAGAUGCAGCAGAGAAACGUUCUUGAAGAGCAAGCCAAGCUUGUCUAGAUGUCCUGCAUCCAAUUAUGACAUCUACAAUAUCUUCAUCCAGAGUAGCCAUGAGAAGACUUAGAAGAGCCAUAUCAGUCUUUUUCCAAGCCAUAAAAGCUGCAAUUUCUUCAUAUGUGACCUUACCAUUAGAGGUUAAUGCAUAUCGAGGAGGACAGACCUCAGUACCAUCAUAAAAUCCAAAUAAGUCAUUGCCAGCAAGAGUGGAUUAGAAUUGAAAACUCCACUUGAUAAAGUUUCUUUCACUGAAACGCAUAGUGAUAAUACUCAACAGUGAAUGCACAUCUGAAUGUGUAAGAGUGUGACUAGCAGCAUUGUGAUCAGUAGUGCUUUGUGUAGGAGCCAUUUUCAACUGCAAGCAAUAUUCAAACAAAUUUCUUGAAACACCACAAAAGAGACCCUUAUGACUCAAUCCUCAGAAACCAAAACACCUCAGACCUCUCAGAGAACUUCUUAUUCUCUUAGCAUACAAAAUCAGACUUCCAGCAAAUCUUGAACAAGAGCAUGCAGAGAAUACUCAAUAAUUCCCAAAUGCUAUAUGCUCCAAUAUUGUAUUAAGACAACUCCUUAGACCUCUUUUUACUGAUAUUUAACACAAAAGCAACAAUAAUACCCAGAAAUGC
rnacentral:lncRNA from 1 species